rnacentral:tRNA from 1 species
GCCAGCAUGGCAUAGUGGUUUGAGCAUUGGACUAUGACUCUUGAGACCAAGGUUCAAAUCCUGGGUCAGCCA